AAUAGCAACUUGAAAUAUAUAUCCAAUGAAAAAGAGAGAGAAAGAAAAAUUGUUAACUGUUUAAACGUGUAUCAGUGGUAAAUUGUAUUUUCCGUUCACGAUCUUGGCACCUGAUAUAACGUUAUGUCACGUAUCAAUGUUUAUAAUAAUCAGAUGAUAAGAAUUGUGA